AUUUACAGGAUUUGAGUGAAGAAAACAUCAGUUUGUCUGAAAGCACCAAAUUUGGUGUUUAUGUUGAUGAAACAGUCCACGAGCUGAGAAGGUUUUCUGUCCUGUUUAAGGAGAAUAAAUUCUCUGAUCAU